ensembl:lncRNA
GACAAUCAGGUAGUACUAUCAGGAACAAAGCCUAAUUUCUAAACUAUGUUGCACACUACAUAAACCAGGGGAUAAACAUGUUAGGCUAUUGAUCAUUUAUUGACAGCUCUGCACAUACAAUACAGUCUUUCUCCUUAUAGAAAGAAAGCCUGUGUUUCUGAAGCAAGACACAGAUGUUACUACACAGCCAAACCUAGCCCUGUCCCUAUCUGUGUUUAUGAAAGUGUUUAUUAAAUAGCUGAUGAGAGGGAAGUCUAAAAGGAGGCACACUGGGCCAGUGCCAAACAUGUGUUUGUUUUCCCCUUAACAAACAUGUAGCCUAUAUCUUCAUAUUUACAGUAAGGCACUAAUAUAUACCACCUAUGACACAAAAAGGAGCACUGUUUUAAAUAAAGAAUUGUUAAAUUUGAGCUAUAUUUGGUUGGUUUACUGCUUACGUGGCAAUGUGUAGUUAUUCCUUCAUAACAGAAAACAACGUAAAAAAAAAUAGUUUUGUUAAGUUUGUAUAGUAUAGUUUUGGGCUCAGGCAAGAAGAGUUUCGGCGGUUUCUAGGUUCAGUAGGCUGCUAGUGUAGAGCUAGCUGGGGCUGGAGAGGAAGUAGAGUUUGGCUUACGUUGAGAGGAAAGUGGGCAGAGCCGCUGAAGGAUAUCAGCUCAGGCAGAGGCGGAGAGGAGGACACACACAACAGAGGAGCAAGGCGUCGAGAGCAGAGAGGAAGGGCAGAACGAUGCGGCCGAAACACCCUUCAAAACGGCGAAAAUCGCCCAAAAAUGUGACACUGGUCGGGGUAGAUGACGGUGGAUAGACACGGCCUCGGAACUGGGGAUUCCCUUGAUGAUUCACAUAUUGCGUCAACGAAGAAAAGAGAUCACCUGACCCGAGCUCAAUGGGUUGACAUUUAGCCACCAUGGAGUCGCGAAUUGGGGCAUUCGGGUGAUUCGCACUGCAACGGAGAUCUUGAGACUGACUGUGAAGAUUUUCGAAUUCCGGAAAAAAAGAAGACUGCUCUACGCCAUUCAACUGGAUAGUGCUGAAGUGGAGACAGCGUUGUUUAACGUGAAGAUGGCAAAGUGGCAGUUAGCUAAAUUUUGCCAAGAUGAAACCUUUUUGACUGGACCUUUUCACUUGGAUUUUGGUUUUGGUUUUUUUACGACGACAUGGACACUGGAACACCUGUUGCUGGCUGUAUAGUGGACUUGAAAAAUAACAUUGUUUUUGGGAAACACAAAACCGUACAUUUGAUAUUCAAAUGUUGUUUUUAAAAAUAAAGUGUAUAUCCUCCUAUUUUUUUUCCUGGCUUUGUUUCAUUAGCUUAUUUACCAGAAAAUGACAAGAGGCUAUCUGGCGAAUAUUUUGAUAAUGUAGAUAACGUUGGAAGUGCAUUAGCUCGGUUAUUGGUUUUAAUAUUUCUGCUAAUCCUACAUUUGGUUAGCAUUGACUUCGUGUCACGACUCCUCAAUGUUUUCUUAUUUAGAAACUAGCAUACGUGCUUACGGUAAACUUCGCCUACUGGGUUGAUGAAACUCUUAAACUACAAAUUUUACAAAUUCUACAAGGAAAAUUAUCACUCGAUUAGUGAGAUAAAAGGAUAGUGAUUGAAAAAGAGUCGGUCCCAUUGGAAAAUCUUAAUCCAAUAAAUGGUUGAAGAAUGUAAUUAUUUUGGUAUGGUCUAAUGCGACUAUAAAAGGCUUUAGUCUAAACAGAAAUGGCUUCCAAAGGCUCUCUAAAAUGGCUUCUGGUUGUCCUUCUUCCUGUCUGAGCAGGAAGUGAUGUAAUUGGUGCAACAAUAAUUAUAUACUUUUUAAAGCCUCUCAGUAUUCUUACUUUCUUUAUGAAGUGAGAAGUAAAGGUCUCAACUUCAAGCCUGGGGCUGAGAAUAAAUGUAAGUUGAUAUAAAACCAAAUUUAAACAUAAUAAAAGGGGUGGGACUUCACAUCACCUGAGUGGGGUAAAUGGAAAUAACGUCAAUCAAAGGCAAAGCUUACAGAGCUAGGAAGGAGCUCUAGAUGGCGGCUGAGCCUUGGGAAGGGUGCCAUGGGCUUUCGUCAGACCGUUUUUCUUGCCCGUUUUUCGACCGAAACCGCUUGAACUUUUUGAAAAUUGAAUUGCUAUGAUAAUACGGUCGGUGUUUUAACGAGAAUUAAGGCAUUUUUGAGUGUUUUUCGGGCUGUUUUUUCGAGCUGUGCGAGUCGUCUGUGCAGAGGGAGUGCUUGUCGUUGUUUUCCAUACUGGGUUCUGGCAGCCAUGGCGCGCCUCCAUUUUUAGUGUGCUGCUCUCCUCCGUCGCUCUGAGUCUGACAGUAGAUGCAGACUUUAAAGGCCUAAAACCUUUUCAAAACUAGCCUCUUUUUUGUAAUUUAUUGUAUAGUUAUUACUUUUUUGUUAUUUUCAUUCGAGUCGGAUAAAAGCCUGUGAUAGAGCGAACGUGAAUCUAAUAGUUAAUGUAUAGCUUACCACCUUUUUUCACAUUGAAUUGGUCUGUUUACAUUGUGUAGUGAAUAAUUUACUUAUUUUCUCAUCCUUAAAUCUUAUUUUUCUUAACCUUCAUGUGAUGACGCAGUUAAAAUUAAUUGCAUGCGGCUUGAUCCGUGGACUAUAUUGAAAGACAUACGUUGGACAUUUAACGUAUUGUAGCAGCACCUGUAAUUUUUCUAAGCUAUAUUUUAAAUAAGCGAUGUAAAUAAUGAUACUUAAAUCUUUCGGAUUAAUGCCUUUUUCUUAACUCGUGUCGCAUCGCCAGGGUUUUAACUGCCAUCCGAGCAAA